AGUUUAGCCAAAAGACCUAUAGAGAUGAUAUUCAUCAGAAUGGAAGGAUAAUAAUGACACUCACCUAACGUGAUACUACUAGACUCAAAAAUAAGCUGCAUAGUUCUUAAAACUAGAACUAAAACAAGGCUUCCAUCUCCAAUGUUCAGGAACUGCUCGUCUUCUCUAAAUUUUCUACUGACCUGCAGUCUCUACAACGAAUUACAAAUAUUAAUCAGACUUUUGGUAUCCAAUACUUAGAUAGUAGUAUCACAUACAGAGAAAUUAUAAGGAGUUAUCAUAUAAGUAUCUUGUGAAGUAAUUGAUUGCUUGUUUCUCUUGUUCUCUAGCCUAUUUGGGUUAAGGAAAGCAAUAUAUGUAGGAUAGUUCCUCUUUUAAUGAUCCAACUUCUUACAGAAGAAGCAUUUUGCCUGGCUCUUAUCAACUUUCGAUUUUUUGCCCUACUUUGGCUUUGGAUCGAUGGCACGACUCUUCUGCACUUUUUUCUUCUUUCCUCUCUUGGAGGAAUGAUGACCUACAGACAAUCCUCCCACAACAUGCAUUGACUUCUUCUAGAGCUGAUGAUCCUUCUCAAAUGUCUGUAGUAACCUUAGUAAAUCAUGGUAGUUCACUACAGGCUUGGUCCUUCUAUAAUAACUCAAGAAGGAUAGGUAGGACUUCGGUAGCGAGUUUAAGAUAGCAACCUUGCCCAACUAUUCAUGUAAUAGAAAGUCAAGUUUGCUUAAGCGUUCAAUUUAGUUGUUCAUGUAUAAUACAUGAUAUGUGACUGACGCUCCUUCUUGUAUAUGGGCAUUGAACACAGCAUAGAAAAUUUUAUGUCUCUCAGCAUCCUUAGAGAUACCGAAAGACUCAUUUAAUAAUUGAAUCAUCUUCUCAAAUUGUGCAUCCUCAAACUUAUGGCCAAGUUCAUCAUUCAUGGAUGCCCUCAUGAUGCAAUGCACUGUAGUGCGAUCACUGAGCUACUUCAUAUAAAUGUCUCUCACAGCACGGGGUGCGUUGGUAGUAGAUUCUUCGAAUGCAGGAUCUAUAAGCACGUACAGGAUCCUUUCAUGCUCUAAGACAAUCUUAAACUUUCAUAUCAGUUAUCAAAAUUUGGUCUGAUAAGCUUAUCACUAUUCAACAGUGAUCGAAGCGAUAAUGUGUUGGCCAUAGCUGAAAAGAAAAUCAAAAUCUAUUAGUAUAUAAAUUAUUUAAAUUUUAAAAAUAUGAACUUUAGUCUAAAGAUCUUCUCAUUAUUUUAUACAAAUUGACAGCCUCUACCUCCAAUUCGAAGAAUUAUAUUAAUCCCUUAGCAGGUACUAAAAUCCAUAUAGACUGUAUUCAGGCCCGAGUGUGGCUCAACAAAUCUCAGUACAUUCAUGGGUAGGUUCUUAAUCAAUUAUUUAAUCAAAUAAUUUCUAGUAAUUAAAUUUUAUCCUAGAUAUCUCUUCAGCAAGUGUGUAGCACCUCCACUGAAAAUUUUUAUUAGAUCUAACUAUUAACAUGACAAUAUCAAGUGUAUCCAACAAAUGAAUGCUCAGGUCUGAGUGCGGCUUGGCCAACCUGACCAUUAAUCUGAAGAGAACAACAAGAUGGCCAUAUGAUGAAUGAUAAUUUUAAUAUUUAAUAGACACCAGGCAUGUGGCACCUUCAGUAUCUAUUUAGAAUAUUGGAUGCAUUAUCACACACCUUAAUGGGAGGCUAUGAACUAGUUAUCCUCAUAUUUGUAUCAUUUUUAGGAUCUAAUAAUUUAAAAGAUUUGAUUUAAUGAUUUGAGAAUAAGAGAAGAGAUUGACCUGCAAGUCAUAAAUCCUUUCAUUGAUUUCACUAAAUCAUGAAGAAGACUUCAUACAAGCUAGUCUAAGGACAUUUAAAUCAGUCAUACUGAUUCAUCUUAAUGACAUGGGUCAGCUCAAAUCAAUUAGUGACCUAAUCAAAACAUGAUUUAUCAAUUUGGCUAGGUAAGUGAGAUCGAUGAGAGGAUCUACCUCGGCUUGCCUUAGACACCAUCAUAAUGGUCAGGUAACCAGACUUCCAAUUAAAAACCACUGAUCGAAUUAUCUUGUAAUAUUGUCAAACUUAUCUUAGACACCAAUUGAUCGAUUAGUUUCAAUUCAGUCAACCAAAAGAUUCAGACUAAACCUUUGAGCCACGAUCAUAGUCUAAUUGGUAUGGUCAAAAAUAUAGACCUGAUCAAGCUACAACUAUUGAGAUUGAUCUAAAAAAAAUUUGACUUAAUUUAAUUUAAUAUUUAAUUAGAUAUAAUUAGUUUCUCUAAUUAAUUCAUAAUUAAUUCAUGCUAACCCAUUGCUCAUCGAUUUAUGAGGUAUCUUAAGAUCUUCAAUUCUCAAAUGUAGAUAUUUUUAAAAUUUUAAUUUUAAAUUAAAUAUAUAAAAUAUGUAUUUCAAUUUAUAGAACUAUUCUACUAGAGUUUCAUGUGAAGCACACCAUAUGUUUAAAAUCAAAAAUUAAUUUUUAAAUGCUAUGUUAAAUAAUUAAACAUAUAUCAACUUCAUGUGUAUAUCAUAUGUAUCAUAAAAAUUUAUAUUUUUACAUCAUAUGCAAUCAUACAAUUCAAAUCAUAAAAUUUAAUUUUUAUAUUUAAAUUUAUUUUAUUAAAAUUAUAAUUAAUCAUAAAUUAUUUUAGAUCUAAUCUAAAUAUAUUCAUGAUCAAAAUAAUUUUAAAAUUUUUUUCAUUUCAUCAUGAGACUUGAUCAUAAUGGCACCCCUACACAUCAUAAGAGCAUCCCAUCGAAUAGAAAGAAAGGAUCUUUAAACUCUAUUUGCUCUUAUGAUCAGACAGCUUGAUGAUCCUCUCAAUUUGAGUACUAAACUACUUAAAUCUAAAAUUUAAUUUCAAAAAUUAAUUACAUCACUACAUAAAUUAUCAAACAAACUAGGCAUGCACAUUAAUAUGAUCAUAUCAUACAUAUUAUACACCUAAUUCUAUUAGAUUAUCACAUUACAUACAUUAUUUUAGAUUUGAAACUAAAUUUAUAUAGCAUAUAAAAUAAUUAAUUUAGAUCUGAAAUAAUAUACAAAUCUAUUCCAAAUAUAUGUAUGAUUGCAUGAGAAAAUUUUGAUUAAAGAUGUGAUGAAAUAUGUAUCGAUAUUAUACUGAAAUCGGGUCUGAAAUUUUAUCAAACAAAUUCAGAUUAGAGCCUAAUUCGAACUUUAAUUCUCUAAUUAAAUUACAUCAUAAAAAAUCUAUCAAAAUAGACUUAAAUCUAUGUAUAAUCAGGUAUUAAAUUAGCAUAAAAAUCUAUAUUGAAAAUUUUGCUAAAAUAGAUUUUUAGCAGUUCAGAUUCAGAGGCUGAUUUUGAUUUGAUACUCUGAUCAAAACCAAAUAAAAAUUAUAUAAAAGAUAUCAGAAGAGAUCAAGAUUUAAUAUAUUAAAAAUUUUAGUUCAAAAUUAGAUCAAAAAAAUCAAAAAAAAUCUCAAAAUUUGACUAUGCGAUCAUAACAUACAAAGCUGGCUCUGAUACCAAUUGAAGAAAAAAUUUAUCCGAUCGCAUUGGAUAUCAAAAAGAUAGAAUAAAUUAGCAAUUAAAAUUUUUAUAAUACUUAUAAAUUCUCACUUUGAUUCAUAGUGAAAAGAAAAUCAAGGUUGAAGAAGCUCCUCGAUCAAUAUACUUUGCAAGAUCUGGAUGCACGGAUCCUCUACUUCGCAUCCAUGCCAAACACUGUAGGAGAGAGAGAUGAACUGUUUCUUCAGAGAGAAAAGAGAGGAACACUUAAGAUCUAAUCUCAAGUCUUUAGAAUAGCCCACACACUGCCACAAAGGGAGGGAGGAUGCCAAGAGGAGAGAGAUGCCCAGUGCUAGGUGACACCCAAGAGAGAGGGGAUGCCCACACCAAGGGAUUUCCAUGCCAAGCCUUUGAUUGAUUUAUUUUUUUCUUCUCCACAUCCCUUCUUAUAUAGGUAAGAGGUCCUAGAUCAAAUUAAACUCUUUUGGGUUCUAGAAAAAGGACUCUUCAUGUUUGAAUCAAAUCCAAACUCCCUAAAACAUAAAGAGUCCUAAUGCGAGUAGGAGAUGUAUCUCCUUUCAUUAUAGCGCACGCCCAAGGGGAGAGAGCUAUUUCCAGCCCCUUUCUAACCACCUAGGCAAACCCAUAAGGAGAGAGAAUAUCUAAAAAGAGUAGCUAAGUAUAGCAAAUAAGAUUUGAUUUAGAUUUGGAUCAAUUUGAUUCCAAUUCGAAUUUGAUUCGAACCAAUUUCAAGAAGGCUGCUGAUCCUAAUCCAAUUAAGAUUCUUAUCCAAGUCCAACUUGAUAAAUUAACCCAAUUAAGUUUUAAUAAAAUUAAGUCCAAUUAGAUUAAAUCUGAUCUAAAGUAAUUAGGACUCAGUCAAACCUCCCUAAAACACAAGAAAUCAUAAUGCAAGUAGGAGAUGUAUCUCCUUUUAUUAUGGUGCCCACUCAAGGAGAGGGGGCUGUUUCCAACCCCUUCCCAACCAUCUAGGUUGGCCUAUAAGGAGAGAGAAUAUCUCAAAAAGAUGGUUAGUGCAUUAAAUUAGAUUUAGUUUAGAUUUGGAUCAAUUCAAAUCCAAUCCAAAUCCAAUUCGAAUUAAUUUAAAAAAGGCUGCUAAUCCUAAUCCACUUAUGAUUCUUGUCUAAAUCCAACUUGAUAAAUUAACCCAAUCAAGCCUUAAUAAAAUUAAAUCCAUUUAGAUUAGAUCUGAUCUAAAAUAAUAAGGAUUCAAUCUAUUCUUCCAUAAUCAUUUGGAUCAUUGAUUUGAUUUUAAUUCAUUCUCAAAAUCAAACCCACACCUGAUGCGCAGUGCUAGCUGAACAUAGUGUUUAAUUCUGUAUGAUCUAUAACUUAAUUCUCAAUCAAGUUAAUCUACAUGUUCAAUCAAGUCGUAUACUUCUAAAUCGAACAAAUAAAUAUUAGGUCAAUUUUUUUCUAUAUUAUUUAACUUUUGUGUGCGACUCCAUAGGUUCGAACACUAAGCCGGUAGCAUAGAAACUCCUUCCUAUACUAAUCGAAGUGAUUGUCUAACAAUGAUAUCUGACAUUUGAAUAGAUCAAAUAUUUAUAAAAUAAUAUUCAAGAACCUCGACAUAUAUUUACCACAUAAUUAUCCCUUUGACCCUAAUGCUCAAGGUGACCUAGGAUUUAACUAUCAAUCCUGAAAUGGUCAUUCCUAUCAUAUUUCAAUCUUUCAAAUCUAUCACAUGGAUUAACUUAGUCAAGAUUUUACUAAAUUGAAAUACAGUACUUCAUUAACUCCUAUAAUUCAAAGAGGUCAAUCCCAUCUUGAUCCAUACACAGACUUCAUAAAUACUUGACUGUACCUAGUAGCCAUCCAUCUUGCANNNNNNNNNNNNNNNNNNNNAAGGAUAAUAAUGACACUCACCUAACAUGAUACUACUAGACUCAAAAAUAAGCUGCAUAGUUCUUAAAACUAGAACUAAAACAAGGCUUCCAUCUCUAGUGUUCAGGAACUAUUCGCCUUCUCUAAAUUUUCUACUGACCUGCAGUCUCUACAAUGAAUUACAAAUAUUAAUCAGACUUUUGGUAUCCAAUACUC
rnacentral:lncRNA from 1 species